rnacentral:lncRNA from 1 species
GAGAUACGAAGGGGAGAGUGAAGAAGGAUAUACAAAGAAUCGACCCACCUUCCAUGGUCACUCUAAACACACAAAAAACACACACAAAAAAAUAGAGAGGGAGAGAGUACCAAAAAGAGAGUUAUAGAGGGAGAUCGAGAAAACAAAGAGUGAUCGCAAUAGGGGAUUGGUGUGAGAUCCGAUCCAUCGCCAAGCCUUUUUGGUGGAAAACUUACACUGAAAUCAACUCCGAUUCUUUAUUUAGGUAACCAACACAGGAUAAACCUAACUUCCUUCAUUAUUCUCUGGAUUUUUAAGAAAAAUUGGUCCAAAAAUGUUAAGUGUGAUUGAAAAACGUGGACCAGCAGCGAAUUCCACACUGAAAUUGGUCCAGUUUGAAUUAGUUUCUGCGUUUAUCUUUGUGUAUGGGUCGGGUUUAUUUCGCUAUUUUUCCAUUCGAUUCUUUGGUCUUUGAACUGUUCUGGGAUUCUUAAUUCUAUCCGUCUCCGUCAAUUCAUCGGGGUCAGCAGCGGUUUUCUAUUUUUGCAAUACCAAGUUUAGAGUUGGUUCGUCGUUGAGGUGCUAUUCGGGCUUUCGGAUUUGGUUUUCUUAAACACAGUUACCAGUAUAAUAUUUGAAGGUCCAUUUCUAAACCUUAUUCUUGAUUUCCUUGUGUAUGACAUUUGAUACAUGGUGUUGUGGUAGUAUAUUGUUUGUUUGAUUAGACACUUCUAUUGAUUGAUUGGUGUUGUGUUACUUGAAUCAACAGUCGAAGCAUGAAGUAAUUUGGUUAAUGGAUUAGGGGAUCGGAAUUUGAUAAAAGAUGAAUAAUUUAGUUGCUUCCAUUCAUUGUUAUCAUUAUGUGGCAUUUAAUUGUCAACUCCUCGAUAGUAUCAUGAUAAGACCGUCAAAUAGGUAAUCAAAUGAUAGGUCGGGGUAGGCAAACUUAAAGAUCGUGAAAUGUUGAAUGUUUGAAGUUUUGUUGAAUGAUGUUGAUAUUCUAGCAUUGAAAAAAUGUACUCAUUUAGCGGGGAAAUGUCCCGAGACAUAUUGUAUUUAUUCACUGGGGAAUGUCCCGACGUACUUUGUUGGUGGAAGACGUUCAUGAGAAAGGCCCGAGGCAUCGGGUAAAGCACGGGAGCAUAGUUAGGGUUAGCAUAGGAUAGAUAGGAUUUACUUUCGUAUUUUUUUUAUUAUUUGGAUAGUAUAAAUUGGACUGGACACUAUAUUUUGAUUCGUUUUGCUUUGUUUGUUUGUUUGAUUGUUCUACGUGUUUUGUGUGAUUUGUAUAUUCGAAGUGUCAAAAUUAGCCGAUACGCUUCAUAAAGCGACCGUGGUUGUGCCACAGGAUCGAGGGGUGUCUAAUACCUUCCCCUCGGUCAACAGAAUUCCUAAGCCAGAAUUUAUGUUCGCAGAUCAGUCUAUAAGAGUCAAAAAUAGUUUUAAAAAAGCUAUUAAAGGUGACUUGGCACACCUAUUUUAUGUCAAGUGGCGACUCUGAAUAAAUUGUAAAUAGUUCUUUUUGAAACAAAAAUAUUCGUUUUGUCACUUAAUUCUUUCGAACCUAAAUUAUGUCUUUUUUUGGUUAAAUAAAAGGGGUGUGACAGCUCUGGCGACUCCGCUGGGGACUUUUCAGAAUUCGAGAUUAUUUUUUUGGAGUUGUAUCGGCUUAGUUUGACAUUAUGGGUGUGUAAACAUUGUUUGUGUUAUCGUUUGUUAUUUAUUUUAUCAUUGUCAAGUGCUUACGUGCUCUUUGUUUACAGUUUUUCUCUUAUGUGUUACCUCUUUAUAACUGGCAUCAUGUGCAUAACCCGAGUCAAUUCUUUAUGGAACAACAUCUGUAGUACACACUGUGUACAUGACCUAUAGUUGAGUCACCCUUAUUUUAGGAGGGGGAGCCAUUGGCUGGUAUGGAGUAGGUGGACAGCUAAAGCAGCCACUAUCGACCAUACUCUCCCCCGAACAGUCUUGUUAGUGAACCCUAGUGUAGGUCUGUCUCUAGGUCAUACUUAUGUACAUCAUGUUGAGACCUAGCGGGGCCCAUUUAUUCCUUUAUAGGAGACUCACCUCUACCGCAUCCCUACGUUCUAAAUGUUGCAUCUUUGAGGGUAAGUAAAUACGAAGAAUUCUGGAAUCACGCAAUAAAGCUAGGUGUGGAUACUCUCAAAGUAGGUCUGGAUAAUCCAGGGUACACUCAAAGAUAUGAGAUCUGGCUGUAAACCAUACCUCGAGGUAUUAGUAGGCCAUUACCAUUGCAACUUAGAGGAAAAAUACAUGAAGAAUGCAUUGUCGAUAACAGUCAGGAUGAAAGUGUGGGGGACAAAGUGGAGACACUGAGAUUUCAGUUAUCAAAUUUGGUCAAGACUAUAGAAAGGUGUCAGAACAAUCUUUCUAAGUGCACUCUCCAUGAGGUGGGGAUACGUACUAGAAACUUCUUCCCAAAUAUCAGGGUGUUUUUGCAGGAUAUGCUGUAGAGUUUGAAUGGAAGAAAGAGAACUUCACAGACAGGUCCAUCUCAGCCAGGGUCAUCCCACAGUGCACCAAUUUGAAGGAGCAACUCUUAUCUUUUAUUUAGUUUGAGUCCUUUAUUUUUCUGUCCUUGUAUUUUAUGUCUUUGUUCAGUCGGGGUCAAGUUUGUUUUAAACGUUAAGAGUCUUUACUAGGAGUAUUAUGCAUGUUAUCUUAAGGGUUUAAAAUGUUGUUUAGUCUUUG